GAUGAAGAACGUAGCGAAAUGCGAUAAUUAAUGUGAAUUGCAGAAUUCCGUGAAUCAUCGAGUCUUUGAACGCACAUUGCGCCUCAUGGCAUUCCGUGAGGCAUGCCCAUCUCAGCGUUAGAAAAUAUUCUCAAAUUUUAGUUUUGUGCUAAAAUUUGGAUCAUGUCAAAGAAGCUAUUACUAUUAUUGUGAUCGCUCUUUGGAAAUUGAUAGGUCUUUGAGUUGCUACUCAUAGAACGUGAUGAAUCUUUCUUCGUUCUAUUGUAAUUCGCUCUGGUAGUCCUAAAACUUGUAUGCCUGUGGCAUAUCUUGUAAUUUGACCUGAGAUUGGGUAGGGAUACCCGCUGAACUUAAGCAUAUCAAUAAGCGGAGGA
rnacentral:misc_RNA from 1 species